rnacentral:snoRNA from 1 species
AAGGAGGUUAAAAUCAAGGUAAACAUAGACUCAAUAAAGAUGGGACAGUAUAUAAGUGCCAAAUGAAUAGAAGUGACAGUAAAAGUAAUAUAUGUGGCCUUGCCUCCAUUGCUGCUGCUGUCCGCAGUUCCAGGCAGCUCUCUGUAGGGGGUCCCACAUAUGGGGACCAAAGAAGGGCAAGGCACGGGCCUUCUGGGUGCAGCCUUGGAUCUGACA